CAGGUUUUGGAGAGUUCCACCAGGUGGAUGUGAAUCAUCUGAACGUGUGCAAACCAGAAAACAAGGAGUCCAUCCUGUAUCAGUUAACCCUGCAGUUCAUCCUGAGGAACGUUCCCAAGUCCACGCUGGCAGAGAAACUGGAGAGGCAACUGGACGAGAUCAUGGACAACGAGUACAUCUGGAGACACAUGCAGUUCUUGAAGUCAGAUCGAUGAGUGGUAAAGAGGGAAACCUAGCUGUUCUGAACAUUCAGGUGUGUACACAGACACGAAGGAUCUGUACUGUAACAGUAGUUUGAUAACAAGGGACAGGCAUGUACACUGUAGCCAUUACCUAAGAAAGUCUGUCAAGUUUGGUGCUACUGUUUUCUAAUGAGAUUGGUGCCAGUAAUGCUGCUAUAGUUGUUUUCCCGUAAAUCCAUAUCCCAACCAAUGAGUGUUCAUGAAGAUAGUUAUACAGAAACUAUCACACAUAUAAGAAAGACAAAAAUGGAUAAAACUUAAGGUAUAAACAUGCCCUGUGGAAACAAGAAAGCGUUGAACAGUCUAACAAUUUAACUGUGUCACCCAAGUCAAAUUGUUCUAAUAACAUUUACAUUUUUAUUUGCUCUGAAAGUGGUGUGAAAUGGCCGAGUGUCUAGUCUAACGGACACAGGAUUGAGAGAGCACGGGUUUGAAUCCAUGCAUUCCUGGCUAGACACCGUGUCCUUGGGAAAGGAGCCUUACACAACUUUCCUCACUUCACUCAUUUGGGGUAAAAAGGUACCUGACUUUGGUUGGGAAAUUAAAAGGUCUCUAUCUUCAUGUUGCCUUUUAUUAGCUUUUAGUAACAAUUUUGCAUGAAUGUUGCUUCUUUUUGAAAUACAUGACAUGAUAGAUGAUAAUAGCUGCAAUGCUUCAUGAACUGUUUUUCACUCAUUUUAUAAGAUGCUUUAGUUUUUAAUAUAUAGAGAAUGACAGAGUGAAUCUUUUAACUUAUGUACAUUUGUACCUACUUACUUUUUUCAGUUUGCAAUUUGGAUUUUUCAUUGCUUUACUUUGCUCAUAGUUUCAUUACAUCUUUUUAGACUUGAGAAGUUUAGAGCUACUUUUCUUCACUUUUUUCUGCUCCAGUUGCUAUUAGAGUUUGAAUUUUCAUUUUACCACAUACAUGUUUUCACACAUGCAAAUUCGUGAGCUUCAUACAGACAAUUAUUUUAAACGAACUUCAGUAGAACAUUGAAUAGCUUCAAUUGAUAUCAUAGAUUUAUGGGCUUUAAAAAGAGAGAGUGAUACCACCCUCCUAACAUGACAUUUGAACAAUCCCUGUCCCAUCACCCCCUGUCAGGAUAACUUGUGGAACAACCCCAAAACUAUUUUUACCUCAGGAGUGUCUUCAAUCAAGGACAUUUAUAUAUACUAGUAGUCCUUGCUUCAAUUGCCUGGAAGCCAGCAUUUUCAAGCAUGUUCAGUCUUUUCCAAAGAGUUUUAUUGAAAGUUUUAUAUUUGUGAACAGAUGGAACAGGAAUGUUGUAUAUAUGUGUCUGUACUCUGUAGUUAGCCAUAU